CGACGACCGGCGAACGGGUGAGUAACGCGUAUGCAACCUGCCUUUUACAGGAGAAUAGGUUCCGGAAACGGAAAUUAAUGCUCCAUAACGCUGCACUAUGGCAUCAUAGAGCAGUUAAAACUCAGGUGGUAAAAGAUGGGCAUGCGUAACAUUAGCUAGUUGGUAAGGUAACGGCUUACCAAGGCAACGAUGUUUAGGGGACCUGAGAGGGUGAUCCCCCACACUGGUACUGAGACACGGACCAG
rnacentral:rRNA from 1 species